rnacentral:misc_RNA from 1 species
GUGGCAUCCAGCCCCCCAAAAGCGACGGCAACGCCCAAGCCUGGUUCACCGCGAAUUUCAACUCCACCGGUGCCACCUUCUCCUCCCCCACCUACACCUACCCCAACGUACAAGAGCCCGGCAACCUCUGGUACCAUGACCACGCAAUGGGCCUCACCCGCGUCAACCUCCUUGCCGGCCUCAUCGGUGCCUACACCGUCCGCAAUCCUGCUGCCGAGUCCCCCCUCCGCCUCCCAUCUGGUGACCUCUUCGACCGCCACCUUGUCCUCUUCGACCGCAGCUUCCGCACAGACGGCUCCCUCUACAUGAACUCCACCGGCGACAACCCCUCCAUCCACCCGCAGUGGCAGCCAGAGUACUUCGGUGACGCCAUCAUUGU